rnacentral:rRNA from 1 species
UACGAAGGACCCAAGCGUUAUCCGGAUUUAUUGGGUUUAAAGGGUGCGUAGGCGGAUUAGUAAGUCAGUGGUGAAAGCCCGUCGCUUAACGGCGGAACUGCCAUUGAUACUGCUAGUCUUGAGUAUGGUUGAGGUGGGCGGAAUGUGUCAUGUAGCGGUGAAAUGCUUAGAUAUGACACAGAACACCAAUUGCGAAGGCAGCUCGCUAAGCCAUAACUGACGCUGAGGCACGAAAGCGUGGGGAGCAAACAGG